rnacentral:rRNA from 1 species
GAUGAACGCUGGCGGCGUGCCUAAUACAUGCAAGUCGAGCGAACGGACGAGAAGCUUGCUUCUCUGAUGUUAGCGGCGGACGGGUGAGUAACACGUGGAUAACCUACCUAUAAGACUGGGAUAACUUCGGGAAACCGGAGCUAAUACCGGAUAAUAUUUUGAACCGCAUGGUUCAAAAGUGAAAGACGGUCUUGCUGUCACUUAUAGAUGGAUCCGCGCUGCAUUAGCUAGUUGGUAAGGUAACGGCUUACCAAGGCAACGAUGCAUAGCCGACCUGAGAGGGUGAUCGGCCACACUGGAACUGAGACACGGUCCAGACUCCUACGGGAGGCAGCAGUAGGGAAUCUUCCGCAAUGGGCGAAAGCCUGACGGAGCAACGCCGCGUGAGUGAUGAAGGUCUUCGGAUCGUAAAACUCUGUUAUUAGGGAAGAACAUAUGUGUAAGUAACUGUGCACAUCUUGACGGUACCUAAUCAGAAAGCCACGGCUAACUACGUGCCAGCAGCCGCGGUAAUACGUAGGUGGCAAGCGUUAUCCGGAAUUAUUGGGCGUAAAGCGCGCGUAGGCGGUUUUUUAAGUCUGAUGUGAAAGCCCACGGCUCAACCGUGGAGGGUCAUUGGAAACUGGAAAACUUGAGUGCAGAAGAGGAAAGUGGAAUUCCAUGUGUAGCGGUGAAAUGCGCAGAGAUAUGGAGGAACACCAGUGGCGAAGGCGACUUUCUGGUCUGUAACUGACGCUGACGUGCGAAAGCGUGGGGAUCAAACAGGAUUAGAUACCCUGGUAGUCCACGCCGUAAACGAUGAGUGCUAAGUGUUAGGGGGUUUCCGCCCCUUAGUGCUGCAGCUAACGCAUUAAGCACUCCGCCUGGGGAGUACGACCGCAAGGUUGAAACUCAAAGGAAUUGACGGGGGCCCGCACAAGCGGUGGAGCAUGUGGUUUAAUUCGAAGCAACGCGAAGAACCUUACCAAAUCUUGACAUCCUUUGACAACUCUAGAGAUAGAGCCUUCCCCUUCGGGGGGCAAAGUGACAGGUGGUGCAUGGUUGUCGUCAGCUCGUGUCGUGAGAUGUUGGGUUAAGUCCCGCAACGAGCGCAACCCUUAAGCUUAGUUGCCAUCAUUAAGUUGGGCACUCUAAGUUGACUGCCGGUGACAAACCGGAGGAAGGUGGGGAUGACGUCAAAUCAUCAUGCCCCUUAUGAUUUGGGCUACACACGUGCUACAAUGGACAAUACAAAGGGCAGCGAAACCGCGAGGUCAAGCAAAUCCCAUAAAGUUGUUCUCAGUUCGGAUUGUAGUCUGCAACUCGACUACAUGAAGCUGGAAUCGCUAGUAAUCGUAGAUCAGCAUGCUACGGUGAAUACGUUCCCGGGUCU